rnacentral:rRNA from 1 species
UACGAAGGGGGCUAGCGUUGCUCGGAAUCACUGGGCGUAAAGCGCACGUAGGCGGAUCGCUAAGUCAGGGGUGAAAUCCUGGAGCUCAACUCCAGAACUGCCUUUGAUACUGAAGAUCUUGAGUUCGGGAGAGGUGAGUGGAACUGCGUGUGUAGAGGUGAAAUUCGUAGAUAUUCGCAAGAACACCAGUGGCGAAGGCGGCUCACUGGCCCGAUACUGACGCUGAGGCACGAAAGCGUGGGGAGCAAACAGG